CGACGAGCGGCGAACGGGUGAGUAACGCGUGGGUAACCUACCCAGAAUGGGGGAUAGCCCCGGGAAACCGGGGGUAAUACCGCAUGUGUCCUUUCCGGCGCGAGUCGGAUUGGAGAAAGAUGGGGAUCCUUCGGGACCUGUCGCUUUUGGAUGGACCCGCGUCCGAUUAGCUUGUUGGCGGGGUAAUGGCCCACCAAGGCUUCGAUCGGUAGCCGGCCUGAGAGGGUGAUCGGCCACAUUGGGACUGAGACACGGCCCAG
rnacentral:rRNA from 1 species